rnacentral:misc_RNA from 1 species
GGAAGUCGAGAGCGCAUAUUGAUGACACUCCAUCAACCAGCAGCAAUGCAGGAUGGUUGUAAUCAUCAAGCAAUUUCCUUACAGUUGCCAAAUUGUUGGUGACUCCAGUUGCUGUUUCAUUGUGAACAAUACAGACAGCCUUGAUUGUAUGAGACCUGUCUGCAGCUAGCUUCGAUGCCAGUUCAUCCAGAUUUGCACCUUGUCCCCAUUCGCUCUCAAUGACAUCAACCUUAAACUUGAGACGCUGCUGUUGAUCGAUCCAGAGAAGGCUGAACUGUCCGAUCAGAAAGGAUACGAUCCUAUCACCCGGGGAUAAUGUGUUCGUGAGGGCAC